GAUGAACGCUGGCGGCGUGCCUAACACAUGCAAGUCGAACGAGAAGCUAACUUCUGAUUCCUUCGGGGAGAUGAAGUUGGUAGAAAGUGGCGAACGGGUGAGUAACGCGUGGGUAAUCUACCCUGUUAGUGGGGGAUAACCCUCCGAAAGGAGGGCUAAUACCGCAUAAGGUCUUCACUUCUUAAGAAGUAAAGAUUAAAGAUGGCCUCUAUACUAUGCUAUCGCUUCAGGAUGAGCCUGCGUCCUAUUAGUUAGUUGGUGGGGUAAUGGCCUACCAAGACCACAAUGGGUAGCCGGUCUGAGAGGAUGUACGGCCACACUGGGACUGAGAUACGGCCCAGACUCCUACGGGAGGCAGCAGUGGGGAAUAUUGCGCAAUGGGGGAAACCCUGACGCAGCGACGCCGCGUGGAUGAUGAAGGCCUUUGGGUUGUAAAAUCCUGUUUUGGGGGAAGAAACCUUAAGGGUCCAAUAAGCCC
rnacentral:rRNA from 1 species